AUGGGGGCCGCCGCCGAGGACGCCGUCAGGCAGCUCGGCAUCCUCAUGGAUCAAGUGGACGCGCCGCUGAGGAGGACGUUCCAGAAUGUGCACCAAGGCCACCCUAGAGAAACAAUGUUGCGCUUUCUCAAGGCUAGAGAAUGGAAUGUUUCCAAGGCUCAUAAAAUGCUUGUAGAUUCUUUGAAUUGGAGGAUUGAAAAUGAAAUUGAUAGUGUAUUGGAGAGACCUAUACUCCCAGUAGAUUUAUACAGAUCAAUACGUGAUUCACAACUUGUUGGACUCUCAGGAUACACCAAGGAGGGUCUUCCAGUUUUUGGCAUUGGUGUUGGUCAGAGCACAUAUGACAAAGCUUCGGUGCACUACUAUGUGCAAUCUCAUAUUCAGAUUAACGAAUACCGUGAUCGCAUAAUUUUGCCCAUGUUGACGGAAAAGUUUGGACGCCCGAUCACCACUUGCGUUAAAGUUCUCGACAUGACUGGUUUAAAGUUGUCAGCACUGAGCCAAAUGAAGAUGCUGAGUUCAAUAUCAACUGUUGAUGAUCUGAACUACCCUGAAAAGUCAGAGACAUAUUACAUAGUUAAUGUUCCAUAUAUAUUCUCUGCAUGCUGGAAGGUUGUGAAGCCCCUAUUGCAGGAGAGGACAAAAAAGAAGGUUAAAGUUUUGAGUGGUUGUGGGAGAGAUGAACUUCUAAAGAUUAUGGACUACUCAGCUCUCCCCCAUUUCUGCCGACGAGAGGGAUCAGGCUCAUCCAAGCAUUCAUCUUCCAACGCCGACGAUUGCUUCUCCCCUGACCAUCCUUUCCACAAAGAGCUCUACGAGCUCACCAACCAGCAAUCGUCGCACAAGGAGCUCCUCAAGAUGGGAUCAUUGCAUGUGAGCAUCCCGGAGCCCGACCCAAACGAUGCGAAGAUCGUGGAGGUGAUCCAGGCCGAGUUCCACAAGAUGGGGGAGCAGAAUGGGUCGACCAACGGCCACAAGGUUUGA
rnacentral:rRNA from 1 species